CUGAAGGUAAUUCAAAAGACAAAUGAAUGAACGACGCUAACGACUGAACUGCAACAGCUACAGUCUCACAGGUGGGUGAGGAGAAAAAUGACAUCUUGUUUUACACUAGGUUGAUCUCGGGAAAAAUAUACUUUGGAUACUUUGUAGAGAACUGAAGCUGUAACAACUAAUUGAUAAAAUGCAAUGCAACAGCAAAAUCCAUCCAUCCAUCCAUCCAUCCAUCCAUCCAUCAGGAGAAGAAAUGAGAAGGAACAGUUGAGCAUAUGAUUUCAACAAGCAACCACAGCCAUAGGCAGUUUCACUAUAAGACAGACUGUCACUAUGGUGCCUCUACUCCAACUCUUUCUUCUAAUGCCUCUAAUUAAGCCAAUCACAAAUCAUGUCCAUGGAAACUUUCUUUCUUCUCCAACCACUCAUUCAAAUCACAGCCUGUUUUCUCACACUUACAUCCUUGUCAGAAAAACUGAUCACAGAUUGGCAGCCAAUGCUGCGUUAGAAACUGUGAGACCGUUUCUCCAUGGCUUCUAUCAGAAAAGUGUCAUUAAAUCAAGUGGAGAUUCAAACGAAUGGACAGAAAGCAGAAAUACUGAGGACACACUGUCAGAAAAAACAUCACAUACUGACAUAACUGGGUCAAGAGGUAUAUUUUUAUUAUCACCCAAAAACAGAGUCAAAAGAGGUCCUUCCCAAAAUGCCAGAAUACCACAAGAUGCUGCUGGAAAAGAAAAGGAGACUGCUGAUGAGACAGAGUCAAUGACAGAAGAACCAGUUGCUGAAUUCGAAGAGAAAGACUUGUCAACAGUUGGGUCAGGUGAUACGUUAAUACCCAGAGAAAUGGGCUUCGUUGGAUCAUCAACAGAGGCAAUAUCAUCUCUUGAUAAAAAGCAUACCCAGUACAGACCUCAAGUUCAGACUGCUUAUAGUGUGCUGGCUAGUUUGGCCACAGUACAAACAAAUCCAACAAUCAACCCUUCACUCGGGAAGGGUUCUACAACUUCACCACCUAUUGAAAAGCCUGUAUCCACUUCCAGUAGGAUUAGCCAACUGGACGCCAACAGGACUGAACUGGAAAU